rfam:Nelumbo nucifera unplaced genomic scaffold scaffold00101, whole genome shotgun sequence
GGGAUAAGUGUGGGUGAGGUUAGCCAAGGAGCUUGCCUAUGAACCAUGCAGAUGGCAUCUUAAGACAAUGAAGACGCUCUGCCAUUAAUUAGACCCUUGACAGGGGCAUAGGCAAGUCAUCCUUGGCUACAAAACACACACUUAUCU